GACGAACGCUGGCGGCGCGCCUAACACAUGCAAGUCGAACGAGCGAGAGAGAGCUUGCUUUCUUGAGCGAGUGGCGAACGGGUGAGUAACGCGUGAGGAACCUGCCUCAAAGAGGGGGACAACAGUUGGAAACGACUGCUAAUACCGCAUAAGCCCACGACCCGGCCUCGGGUUGAGGGAAAAGGAGCAAUCCGCUUUGAGAUGGCCUCGCGUCCGAUUAGCUAGUUGGUGAGGUAACGGCCCACCAAGGCGACGACCGGUAGCCGGACGGAGAGGUUGAACGGCCACAUUGGGACUGAGACACGGCGCAGACUCCUAGGGGAGGCAGCAGAGGGGAAUAUUGCACAAGGGGGGAAACCCUGAUGCAGCGACGCCGCGUGGAGGAAGAAGGUCUUCGGAUUGUAAACUCCUGUUGUUGAGGAAGAUAAUGACGGUACUCAAAAAGGAAGUGACGGCUAACUACGUG
rnacentral:rRNA from 1 species